rnacentral:rRNA from 1 species
UACGUAGGGUGCAAGCGUUGUCCGGAAUUAUUGGGCGUAAAGAGCUCGUAGGCGGUCUGUUGCGUCCGCUGUGAAAACUCGGGGCUUAACCCCGAGCCUGCAGUGGAUACGGGCAGACUAGAGGUAGGUAGGGGAGAAUGGAAUUCCCGGUGUAGCGGUGAAAUGCGCAGAUAUCGGGAGGAACACCGGUGGCGAAGGCGGCAUCCUGGACCGACACUGACGCUGAGGCGCGAAAGCUAGGGUAGCAAACGGG